rnacentral:rRNA from 1 species
CCAGAGUUUGAUCAUGGCUCAGAUUGAACGCUGGCGGCAGGCCUAACACAUGCAAGUCGAACGGUAACAGGAAACAGCUUGCUGUUUCGCUGACGAGUGGCGGACGGGUGAGUAAUGUCUGGGAAACUGCCUGAUGGAGGGGGGAUAACUACUGGAAACGGUAGCUAAUACCGCAUAACGUCGCAAGACCAAAGAGGGGGACCCUCGGGCCUCUUGCCCAUCGGGAUGUGCCCAGAUGGGAUUAGCUUGUUGGUGGGGUAACGGCUCACCAAGGCGACGAUCCCUAGCUGGUCUGAGAGGAUGACCAGCCACACUGGAACUGAGACACGGUCCAGACUCCUACGGGAGGCAGCAGUGGGGAAUAUUGCACAAUGGGCGCAAGCCUGAUGCAGCCAUGCCGCGUGUAUGAAGAAGGCCUUCGGGUUGUAAAGUACUUUCAGCGGGGAGGAAGGGAGUAAAGUUAAUACCUUUGCUCAUUGACGUUACCCGCAGAAGAAGCACCGGCUAACUCCGUGCCAGCAGCCGCGGUAAUACGGAGGGUGCAAGCGUUAAUCGGAAUUACUGGGCGUAAAGCGCACGCAGGCGGUUUGUUAAGUCAGAUGUGAAACCCCCGGGCUCAACCUGGGAACUGCAUCUGAUACUGGCAAGCUUGAGUCUCGUAGAGGGGGGUAGAAUUCCAGGUGUAGCGGUGAAACGCGUAGAGAUCUGGAGGAAUACCGGUGGCGAAGGCGGCCCCCUGGACGAAGACUGACCGCUCAGGUGCGAAAGCGGUGGGGGAGCAAACAGGAUUAGAUACCCUGGUAGUCCACCGCCGUAAACGAUGUCGACUUGGAGGUUGUGCCCUUGAGGCGUGGCUUCCGGAGCUAACGCGUUAAGUCGACCGCCUGGGGAGUACGGCCGCAAGGUUAAAACUCAAAUGAGAUUGACGG